AAACCAUGGAAGGGGCUCUCCACGAAGGAUAAUUUGGCAAUAUCUGGAGACUUUAGACUGUCACAACUGGGCAGUACCACUGGCAUUGGCUUUCUGAUGCUGUGCGAUGGGGCCUUACUUACGAAGGAGACCAGGGCAGCCAACAGCAGGAUGCGCACCAGGAGGUCCUCAAACUGUUCCAGCACCAGCUCCCACAGGGACUUCCCUGAGAAUUGGAGCACCAUGUAAACCUUGGGUCCCUUACCAACUGACCUACCCUCAUUCAGAGCUGGGACCACCUAGGAGACCACCUGGCCCACUCCCUCCCUACCAUUCAAAGAGCAAGAGCCUGAGGCCUUAGAGGCAUAGGUAUCAGCAAAGACUUUUCCUGUGGGAGCCCUCUCCUGAGACCAUCUGUGUGGAAGAUCUGGGGCACCUGGCAGCUGAACCAUGGAGAGUAUCAAGCAGCCCACUGGACUGCAGGAACCCAGGAGGGAAACAUAUAACCUAAAAAUACAUUUUCUAGCUUUUUCUCCCUAGUCCUAUUUUAGGCAACAGCUGACAUUUUCCGUGGAAAAUGUAAUCUCCAGUGUCCUGCAUUGAGAUUAAAA